rnacentral:rRNA from 1 species
UACGUAGGGGGCGAGCGUUGUCCGGAAUUACUGGGCGUAAAGGGCGUGUAGGCGGUUGGAUUAGUCUGGUGUGAAAUGGCGAGGCUCAACCUCGUCGCUGCGCUGGAAACUGUCUGACUGGAGUUCGGCAGGGGUUACUGGAAUCCCCGGUGUAACGGUGAAAUGUGUAGAUAUCGGGGGGAACACCUGUGGCGAAGGCGGGUAACUGGGCCGAGACUGACGCUGAGACGCGAAAGCGUGGGGAGCAAACAGG